rnacentral:rRNA from 1 species
GUGGCUAAGACUGGAUAGGAAGAAAUAAGGCAUCUUAUUUCUUUUAAAAGACCUAGUAAUAGGUAUACUUUAGGAGGGGCUUGCGCCAUAUUAGUUAGUUGGUAGGGUAAUGGCCUACCAAGACGAUGAUGUGUAGCUGGACUGAGAGGUUGAACAGCCACAUUGGGACUGAGACACGGCCCAAACUCCUACGGGAGGCAGCAGUAAGGAAUUUUCGGCAAUGGAGGAAACUCUGACCGAGCAACGCCGCGUGAACGACGAAGUACUUUGGUAUGUAAAGUUCUUUUAUCAAGGAAGAAAAGCAAGUGGCGAACCAUUUGUUUGCCGGUACUUGAUGAAUAAGCCCCGGCUAAUUAUGUGCCAGCAGCCGCGGUAAGACAUAAGGGGCAAGUGUUAUCCGGAAUUAUUGGGCGUAAAGGGUGCGUAGGCGGUCUAGUAAGUCAGUGGUGUAAUGGCAACGCUCAACGUUGUCCGGCUAUUGAAACUGCUAAACUUGAGUUAGAUAGAGGCGAGUGGAAUUCCAUGUGUAGCGGUAAAAUGCGUAAAUAUAUGGAGGAACACCAGAGGCGUAGGCGGCUCGCUGGGUCUUAACUGACGCUGAGGCACGAAAGCGUGGGGAGCAAACAGGAUUAGAUACCCUGGUAGUCCACGCCGUAAACGAUGAGUACUAAGUGUCGGGUUAAACCGGUACUGAAGUUAACACAUUAAGUACUCCGCCUGAGUAGUACGUACGCAAGUAUGAAACUUAAAGGAAUUGACGGGACUCCGCACAAGCGGUGGAUCAUGUUGUUUAAUUCGAAGAUACCCGAAAAACCUUACCAGGUCUUGACAUGUUUUUGCGAAACGGUAGUAAUAUCGUAGAGGUUAUCAGAAACACAGGUGGUGCAUGGUUGUCGUCAGCUCGUGUCGUGAGAUGUUAGGUUAAGUCCUAAAACGAGCGAAACCCUUAUCGUUAGUUGCCAGCACGUUAUGGUGGGGACUUUAACGAGACUGCCAGUGAUAAACUGGAGGAAGGUGAGGAUCACGUCAAAUCAGCAUGCCCCUUAUGACCUGGGCUACAAACGUGAUACAAUGGCUGUUACAAAGGGUAGCUGAAACGUAAGUUCUUGGCCAAUCCCCAAAAACAGUCUCAGUCCGGAUUGAAGUCUGCAACUCGACUUCAUGAAGUUGGAAUCGCUAGUAAUCGCGAAUCAGCAUGUCGCGGUGAAUACGUUCUCGGGGUUUGUACACACCGCCCGUCAAACCAC